UUACUUACCUGGUGCGGGGCCUCAUUGAUCACCUAGGACGAGCCCCAAGGUUGAGGCGCGGCAUUGCACUGCGCUCGCGUUGACCCCUGCAACUUCCACAAAUUGGGGCAGAUGGGGCAUGCAAAUUCC
rnacentral:snRNA from 1 species